UCUAUGUACUACAUAGUACUUACCUAAUCCAUAACUUGGAAUCGAAGCGAAGAAGCAAAGCCUGUUCAAUAUACUUAGUGGGCAAACUUUUCUUCUUCGCCUAAAAUCUGUGUCAUGUCUAAGGUAAGUAUUUUAGCAGUUUGAGUACCUCCGGAAUCCAGAUAUCGUGAGGUAUGUGCCAGUCCAUUGAAUAGGAGUUCAAGUAGUAUUCCAACUAUAGCGAAAAAAUGAACGUUUAGUUCAGUUAUUUGCUGUCCAAUGAGUUAUGAAAACUGCUUUUGAAAGAGUUGAGGAACAUGAAACGAAUGACCUAGCCACAAAACGACUAAAUAAAGUGUCACAGGCAUUGUUCUGCGUGUGUUCAACAAGUCAACCUUUGGAUGGCGUUUCUGCCUUCGUGAACCAUAACAUAAACUAGAGUCAUUGCACAAAAUGGAUGCUGAAUUUAACCGUGUAACUACAAAACACCAAUUUUGGACGAAAUCCGAGCUACACUAGACAAAGAUUGACCAACACCUAUAGACAGUUAACCCGUAUGCUAGGAAGAAUUUCGAAUAAUUGGUCCAUCUGCGCAAUUUGCUACUACGCAGUUAAAAAAGUGACUUUUAAUUCUGCUGCUAUGGAAAGUAUUGGAAUACUUUGCGCCUUUGUGAAUGAAUUGAAAGUGGAUACGAUGUUAUCCGAAGAUCAGCUGUCUGAAUACAUACUUCUAUUUGAUAACUAUAGCUUUUUUGCAAUAAAACGCGUGAGCGAAUUAAUUAAUUGAUUACUACCUGAUUUAGAAUUCAAUUCGUUAGCGAACGAUUCGCUGUAAAUUAAUCAAUUUGUUUGUAAAUUACUCACUAAAAAUUAAAUAAAUGAAUCAAUUCGUUCGCGAAUGAUUUAACAAGAAAUCAA